GAUGAACGCUGGCGGCGUGCCUAAUACAUGCAAGUCGAGCGAACAGAUGAGGAGCUUGCUCCUCUGACGUUAGCGGCGGACGGGUGAGUAACACGUGGAUAACCUACCUAUAAGACUGGGAUAACUUCGGGAAACCGGAGCUAAUACCGGAUAAUAUAUUGAACCGCAUGGUUCAAUAGUGAAAGACGGUUUUGCUGUCACUUAUAGAUGGAUCCGCGCCGCAUUAGCUAGUUGGUAAGGUAACGGCUUACCAAGGCAACGAUGCGUAGCCGACCUGAGAGGGUGAUCGGCCACACUGGAACUGAGACACGGUCCAGACUCCUACGGGAGGCAGCAGUAGGGAAUGUUCCGCAAUGGGCGAAAGCGUGACGGAGCAACGCCGCGUGAGUGAUGAAGGUCUUCGGAUCGUAAAACUCUGUUAUUAGGGAAGAACAAAUGUGUAAGUAACUAUGCACGUCUUGACGGUACCUAAUCAGAAAGCCACGGCUAACUACGUG
rnacentral:rRNA from 1 species